GAUGAACGCUGGCGGCGUGCCUAAUACAUGCAAGUCGAGCGAACAGACGAGGAGCUUGCUCCUCUGACGUUGGCGGCGGUCGGGUGAGUAACAUGUGGAUAACCUACCUCUCAGACUGGGAUAACUUCGGGAAAUCGGAGCUUCUACCGGAUAAUAUAUUGAACCGCAUGGUUCACUCGUUGAAGACGGUUUUGCUGUCACUUAUAGAUUGAUCCGCGCCGCAUUAGUUAGUUGGUAAGGUAACGGCUUACCAAGGCAACGAGGCGUAGCCGACCUGAGAGGGAGGUCGGCCAGACGGGAAGUGAGAAACGGUCCAGACUCCGACAGGAGGCAGCAGUAGGGAAUCUUACGCAAUGGGCGAAAGCCUGACGGAGCAACACCGCGUGAAUGAUGAAGGUCUUCGGAUCGUAAAACGCUGUUAUUAGGAGAGAACAAAUGUGUAAGUAACUGGGCACGUCUUGACGGUACCGAAUCAGAAAGCCACGGCCAACUACGUG
rnacentral:rRNA from 1 species